ACCAAUGGCCUCCCAGGGCCCACAGCAGCCAAUCAGAGUGCGCCGAGCGGCUAGGCUCGCCAGCCAGCCAGUGUGUCGAGGGAGCAGAGACCAGCGGACAUGGCGAGGCUACGGUCUGUGUUGUUUGCCGCGCUGCUCUUCGUCGCUUCGUGCCUCCUCUUCUCAGCAGCCGGCGCUGGUGCAGUGAGGAUAAAGCGCGGGACCUGCGACAACAGCAUCGACACGAUGAACAGGCUGGCGUGCAACGCCUACUGCGUGGCCCAGCUCAACGGCUACUCUGGGGGCAAGUGCUUCCUCGGCACCUGCAUCUGCUACAAGUAGACAUCAGCUCCCUCUGUGGACCAACAAACAAGUGUCGUUAUCAUAUGCCCAUGCGUUGUAAUGUUGCUUUCUUACUGUAUUUGUAGCCAUCAGUCCCAAGACUGGGGUGAUGCUGUAGUGGCAGAUACACAGUGUAUAGUUUGCAAAUUAGUAACAAAUAAAUAACAACAAAUACUUAGAACAAAA